rnacentral:misc_RNA from 1 species
GAACUGCGAUAAGUAAUGUGAAUUGCAGAAUUCAGUGAAUCAUCGAGUCUUUGAACGCACAUUGCGCCCCCCUGGCAUUCCGGGGGGCAUGCCUGUCCGAGCGUCAUUGCUGCCCAUCAAGCCCGGCUUGUGUGUUGGGUCGUCGUCCCCCCCGGGGGACGGGCCCGAAAGGCAGCGGCGGCACCGUGUCCGGUCCUCGAGCGUAUGGGGCUUUGUCACCCGCUCGACUAGGGCCGGCCGGGCGCCAGCCGACGUCUCCAACCAUUUUUCUUCAGGUUGACCUCGGAUCAGGUAGGGAUACCCGCUGAACUUAAGC